rnacentral:tRNA from 1 species
GAUGGUAGAGCUCGGUGGUAGAGCGUGUGCUUAGCAUGCAUGAGGUCCUAAGUUCGAUCCCCAGUACCUCCA